GGCAAGCAUAUCUGAAAUAUUGAUCAACAUGGACAUUCAUGAGAAAUAAUGGUGAGACAUCAUUUGUCAUAAAAAAAUUAAAAUAGAGCCAUAAGCCGCAAUAUAGGCACCCUGCUGCCCUACAGUGUGCAGGACCCCAUUGAGUCUUACAAUUUGUAACUCUCAUCUCCCGUCCAAAUGUUAGAAAAAAUGAUAUAAAAGAAAAUGUGAUAUCAUAUAAAUAACUUAGACUUUGGGAAAUGCAACCAACUACAGAGAUUGAUGGGACGGGAUCGGGAGAGGAGGGGGACCAUGUACCCCGCUUCAAUCAAGCAGACUUCAGUCACCCACUUGUCUUCAGUCAACCCAAAGAUUGAAGCUGGAGACAAAUCCAGGUAUGGCCUCCUCCUUGUCAGGCCUCUCACACUGGGCAGACGGGUUCUGGGAUGGACAGCUCGCACAUCUUCCCCACAUACGGCACUGGAUCAAGGGUGACCUUGUUGAAGAGGAGAUCCAGGAGCCUGUCUAUGUAGCAUGUAAGGGUUUUGAAAAGGGAAAUGUUUGUUAAAUGGGUAGUGAAAUUUACUUCAUUUUAUUCACUGUUCUGAGUUAUGACGUUAUCAUUUUGUUGAUGUAGUGAUCUACUCAUUCUACAAUGUGUUUUCUGGUGUUUUUGAAGUACUAAUUUUGAAAUAUGCAAUAUUUAGUGAACUCUUCAAUGUUUGUAUUUGGAAUUUGUGUGUUCCUGAAAUGCUCAAUUUAAUUGAAUUGAAUAAUUAUGACUUACAGUAUUGUUGGUUUGUCUUCACUUGAUCUGUCUUCACGGGCUUUACAGCAUAUCCCCCCUUAUUUGGUCUGUCUUCACAUGCUUUACAGCAUAUCCCCCUUAUUUGGUCUAUCUUUAUAGGCUUCACAGCAUAUCCCCCCUUAUUUGGUCUGUCUUUACAGGCUUUACAGCAUAUCCCCCUUAUUUGAUCUGUCUUCACAGGCUUUACAGCAUAUCCCCCUUAUUUGGUCUGUCUUCACAUGCUUUACAGCAUAUCCCCCUUAUUUGGUCUGUCUUCACAGGCUUUACA
ensembl:lncRNA